GAGACAUUUUGUCAUAAACUACAAAUAGCUCACCUAUGAUUACUUACUUUUGUUCUUUCUUUCCCUUUCCUUUGUUAUAUUUGCAUCUUGCCUUUUCUUCCUCCAUCAUCUUCAUUCUCAUUCCAUCCUUCUUAGUUUCACUAUCUUCCUCACACCCUUUGCCUCAACCUCUCAGCCACAAGAACUUCUUCCUUUCCUCUCAUCCCUAACCAGUCUCAUCAAACUCUCCUCACUUUCCCCUUAACUCUCAAAUGGCCUGAAUUUCACAGAUCAUCAUUAAUCUGAAUGGGUUUGGGGGGCAUUUCCUGCCACAAAGCAAAAUUCUCUCAUAUCUGUUGUUCAAGAGUCACUGCUUUUGUAUUUUCAGAAAAGAAGCUGGUAACUCACAUAAUCCUCUUCACUGGCCAAACACUUGCAAUGCCCACUGCAGGAAUUCUCUCCCCCACUUCCUGAGAAAAACAUCAGGCUCACAUUUCUGGGAAGGAAUAGGAGUUCUCUGCCCUCUCUCCCUCCUGUGGCAUAAAGAAGAUAGUUCAGCAUGUGCUGAUUAGAAGCAAUGGCCAGCCAAAUUCCUUUCAGUCUGGACCAGAUGGAAAACCUCUUCUAUUAGCCAGCGGUAUUUCUUGGCUAACAGCCACUCAUUUGAAGAGCUCUUGGAACUGCCAGAGAUUGUCCAGCAAGGAAACGUCCCCAGGAAUGAAAGCUUCGUCUGGGGAAGAAGAGUGGUCAGUAGGGGACACCUCUGGUUGGUGUUCCUCAGUGGAAAGGUGGGUGUCAUCUGGCUCUGAUGGGAGUUGAGGUGGAGAUGUCGGUUGUCCCGUUGGAGUAGGAGGAGCUGGAGUCGGUAUUCCACGAUGACCGCAAUGAUUCCUGUCCUCCAAUAUCCCACAUAAGGAAAUGG